UACGUAGGGGGCAAGCGUUGUCCGGAAUCUAUUGGGUCGUAAAGAGCGCGUAUGGCGGUCCGGGUAAGUCGGUUGGUGAAAACUGGGGGCUCAACCCUCAGAGGCCGACCGAUACUGUCGGGCUAGAGUCCGGAAGAGGCGAGUGGAAUUCCUGGUGUAGCGGUGAAAUGCGCAGAUAUCAGGAGGAACACCAAUGGCGAAGGCAGCUCGCUGGGACGGUACUGACGCUGGAGGCGCGAAAGCGUGGGGAGCAAACAGG
rnacentral:rRNA from 1 species